rnacentral:rRNA from 1 species
UACGGAGGGUGCAAGCGUUAUCCGGAUUCACUGGGUUUAAAGGGUGCGUAGGCGGGCAGAUAAGUCAGUGGUGAAAUACCUGAGCUUAACUUGGGAACUGCCAUUGAUACUAUUUGUCUUGAAUGUCGUGGAGGUUAGCGGAAUAUGUCAUGUAGCGGUGAAAUGCUUAGAGAUGACAUAGAAUACCUAUUGCGAAGGCAGCUAACUACGCGAAUAUUGACGCUGAGGCACGAAAGCGUGGGGAUCAAACAGG